AGUGAACGCUGGCGGUAGGCCUAACACAUGCAAGUCGAACGGCAGCACAGUAAGAGCUUGCUCUUACGGGUGGCGAGUGGCGGACGGGUGAGGAAUACAUCGGAAUCUACUUUUUCGUGGGGGAUAACGUAGGGAAACUUACGCUAAUACCGCAUACGACCUACGGGUGAAAGCAGGGGAUCUUCGGACCUUGCGCGAUUGAAUGAGCCGAUGUCGGAUUAGCUAGUUGGCGGGGUAAAGGCCCACCAAGGCGACGAUCCGUAGCUGGUCUGAGAGGAUGAUCAGCCACACUGGAACUGAGACACGGUCCAGACUCCUACGGGAGGCAGCAGUGGGGAAUAUUGGACAAUGGGCGCAAGCCUGAUCCAGCCAUAGCGCGUGGGUGAAGAAGGCCUUCGGGUUGUAAAGCCCUUUUGUUGGGAAAGAAAAGCAGCAGGUUAAUACCACGCUGUUCUGACGGUACCCAAAGAAUAAGCACCGGCUAACUUCGUG
rnacentral:rRNA from 1 species